ACGGGAGGCAGCAGUGGGGAAUAUUGCACAAUGGGGGAAACCCUGAUGCAGCGACGCCGCGUGAGCGAAGAAGUAUUUCGGUAUGUAAAGCUCUAUCAGCAGGGAAGAAAAUGACGGUACCUGACUAAGAAGCUCCGGCUAAAUACGUGCCAGCAGCCGCGGUAAUACGUAUGGAGCAAGCGUUAUCCGGAUUUACUGGGUGUAAAGGGAGUGUAGAUGGCAUGGCAAGUCAGAUGUGAAAGCUCGGGGCUCAACCCCGGAACUGCAUUUGAAACUGUCAAGCUGGAGUGCAGGAGAGGAAAGUGGAAUUCCUAGUGUAGCGGUGAAAUGCGUAGAUAUUAGGAAGAACACCAGUGGCGAAGGCGGCUUUCUGGACUGUAACUGACAUUGAGGCUCGAAAGCGUGGGGAGCAAACAGGAUUAGAUACCCUGGUA
rnacentral:rRNA from 1 species